rnacentral:rRNA from 1 species
GCGUUAUCCGGAAUCAUUGGGUUAAAGGGUCCGCAGGCGGUCAAUUAAGUCAGAGGUGAAAUCCCAUAGCUUAACUAUGGAACUGCCUUUGAUACUGGUUGACUUGAGUCAUAUGGAAGUAGAUAGAAUGUGUAGUGUAGCGGUGAAAUGCAUAGAUAUUACACAGAAUACCGAUUGCGAAGGCAGUCUACUACGUAUGUACUGACACUGAGGAACGAAAGCAUGGGUAGCGAAGAGGAUUAGAUACCCUCGUAGUCCAUGCCGUAAACGAUGUGUGUUAGACGUUGGAAAUUUAUUUUCAGUGUCGCAGGGAAACCGAUAAACACACCGCCUGGGGAGUACGACCGCAAGGUUAAAACUCAAAUGAAUUGACGGGGACCCGCACAAGUAGUGGAGCAUGUGGUUUAAUUCGAAGAUACGCGCAGAACCUUACCAACACUUGACAUGUUCGUCGCGACUUUAAGAGAUUAAAGUUUUCGGUUCGGCCGGACGAAACACAGGUGCUGCAUGGCU